UACGUAGGGGGCUAGCGUUGUCCGGAUUUAUUGGGCGUAAAGAGCGUGUAGGCGGCCAGAUAAGUCCGCUGUGAAAUCUCGAGGCUCAACUUCGAGCUGUCGGUGGAAACUGUCUGGCUAGAGUCCGGAAGAGGAGAAUGGAAUUCCUGGUGUAGCGGUGAAAUGCGCAGAUAUCAGGAAGAACACCCGUGGCGAAGGCGGCACUCUGGGCCGAUACUGACACUGAGGAGCGAAAGCGUGGGGAGCGAACAGG
rnacentral:rRNA from 1 species